GAUGAACGCUAGCGGCAGGCUUAACACAUGCAAGUCGAGGGGUAACAUUGUAGCUUGCUACAGAUGACGACCGGCGCACGGGUGCGUAACGCGUAUAGAACCUACCUUUUACAGAGGGAUAGCCUUUAGAAAUGAAGAUUAAUACCUUAUAGUAUUGCGAUUUGGCAUCAAGUUGUAAUUAAAGAUUUAUCGGUAAAAGAUGGCUAUGCGUCCUAUUAGUUAGAUGGUAAGGUAACGGCUUACCAUGACAUCGAUAGGUAGGGGUCCUGAGAGGGAGAUCCCCCACACUGGUACUGAGACACGGACCAGACUCCUACGGGAGGCAGCAGUGAGGAAUAUUGGGCAAUGGAGGCAACUCUGACCCAGCCAUGCCGCGUGCAGGAAGACGGCCCUAUGGGUUGUAAACUGCUUUUAUACAGGAAGAAACACUAGUACGUGUACUAGCUUGACGGUACUGUAAGAAUAAGGACCGGCUAACUCCGUGCCAGCAGCCGCGGUAAUACGGAGGGUCCGAGCGUUAUCCGGAAUCAUUGGGUUUAAAGGGUCCGCAGGCGGUCAAUUAAGUCAGAGGUGAAAUACCAUAGCUCAACUAUGGAACUGCCUUUGAUACUGGUUGACUUGAGUCAUAUGGAAGUAGAUAGAAUGUGUAGUGUAGCGGUGAAAUGCAUAGAUAUUACACAGAAUACCGAUUGCGAAGGCAGUCUACUACGUAUGUACUGACGCUGAGGGACGAAAGCGUGGGGAGCGAACAGGAUUAGAUACCCUGGUAGUCCACGCCGUAAACGAUGGAUACUAGUUGUUGGGCAUUAGCUCAGUGACUAAGCGAAAGUGAUA
rnacentral:rRNA from 1 species